AGAGUUUGAUCCUGGCUCAGGACGAACGCUGGCGGCGUGCUUAACACAUGCUAGUCGAACGGUGAAGCCUUUCGGGGUGGAUCAGUGGCGAACGGGUGAGUAACACGUGAGCAACCUGCCCUUGACUCUGGGAUAACUCCGGGAAACCGGUGCUAAUACCGGAUAUGACGCACGACCGCAUGGUCUGUGUGUGGAAAGUUUUUCGGUCAAGGAUGGGCUCGCGGCCUAUCAGCUUGUUGGUGGGGUAACGGCCCACCAAGGCGACGACGGGUAGCCGGCCUGAGAGGGCGACCGGCCACACUGGGACUGAGACACGGCCCAGGCUCCUACGGGAGGCAGCAGUGGGGAAUAUUGCGCAAUGGGCGAAAGCCUGACGCAGCGACGCCGCGUGAGGGAUGAAGGCCUUCGGGUCGUAAACCUCUUUCAGCAGGGAAGAAGCGAAAGUGACGGUACCUGCAGAAGAAGCACCGGCUAACUACGUGCCAGCGGCCGCGGUAAUACGUAGGGUGCAAGCGUUGUCCGGAUUUAUUGGGCGUAAAGAGCUCGUAGGCGGUCUGUCGCGUCUGGUGUGAAAACUCAGGGCUUAACCCUGAGCUUGCAUCGGGUACGGGCAGACUAGAGUGCGGUAGGGGAGACUGGAAUUCCUGGUGUAGCGGUGAAAUGCGCAGAUAUCAGGAGGAACACCGGUGGCGAAGGCGGGUCUCUGGGCCGUAACUGACGCUGAGGAGCGAAAGCAUGGGGAGCGAACAGGAUUAGAUACCCUGGUAGUCCAUGCCGUAAACGUUGGGCGCUAGGUGUGGGGCUCUUUCCACGAGUUCUGUGCCGCAGCAAACGCAUUAAGCGCCCCGCCUGGGGAGUACGGCCGC
rnacentral:rRNA from 1 species